rnacentral:lncRNA from 1 species
AACGCCAUCCCUGCCCUGUAAUUUUGAAGCAGUGCUAACCAACAUGAGUGCCACACACCAGCAUGCACACGAGUGGGCUACGGGCAUGCAGAUAUUCUGGCCCUGAGGUCAGUAUAUUCCGAUCUCUUGAACUCCUAGAGGGGAAGACAGUGUCCAGGGCACCUGAAGCCAUCGGGUGGUCACCUCUGGCUGUAAGCUGCUUUGGCCACUUCUUGCAGAGCCGGAUAGGCACAGGCACUGUCUAUCUAUGAGGGAGACAGAACACUGCUCAGAGAAGCCCUGGCCGUGAGAAGCUGCUUUUCUAGCUCUUCACUUCAGUCCUCUCUGCAUCUCUCUCCUGCUCUGGAGCCAGCACCUCGGAGGCCUCUGAUAGACAGCUAACACAAGCACCUGAUACCAUAACGUACUGCGGCCUCAAAGACAGCCCAGCCCACAGGAUCAGGGGAGCCCUCCUGGUGCAGGUGACCCUUGCGCUGAGUUCUGAGGGACUAGAAAAAACUGGCCAACCCCAGGAGAAGCGACGACGGACAGGACAAGAGCAGUGAUGAGUGGAGUGAGGGUGUCUGUUUCUUUAAGAAGCCCGUUAUGCAUUGCUGCUGGAGCAGAUUACGAUUCUAUCAGCACCCUAGAGAAGAACUUAGAGAUGGAGAUUGUCAGCAAUGACUACCAGCCUUAGAAACCAUCUGGAAAAAUAAAAUUGUUAAUGGAACU